rnacentral:rRNA from 1 species
UACGUAGGGGGCAAGCGUUAUCCGGAUUUACUGGGUGUAAAGGGAGCGCAGACGGCAGUGCAAGUCUGAUGUGAAAGCCCGGGGCUCAACCCCGGAACUGCAUUGGAAACUGUACAGCUCGAGUGUCGGAGAGGUAAGCGGAAUUCCUAGUGUAGCGGUGAAAUGCGUAGAUAUUAGGAGGAACACCGGUGGCGAAGGCGGCUUACUGGACGAUGACUGACGUUGAGGCUCGAAAGCGUGGGGAGCAAACAGG